rnacentral:rRNA from 1 species
GAUGAACGCUGGCGGCGUGCCUAAUACAUGCAAGUCGAGCGAACUGAUUAGAAGCUUGCUUCUAUGACGUUAGCGGCGGACGGGUGAGUAACACGUGGGCAACCUGCCUGUAAGACUGGGGUAACUUCGGGAAACCGAAGCUAAUACCGGAUAGGAUCUUCUCCUUCAUGGGAGAUGAUUGAAAGAUGGUUUCGGCUAUCACUUACAGAUGGGCCCGCGGUGCAUUAGCUAGUUGGUGAGGUAACGGCUCACCAAGGCAACGAUGCAUAGCCGACCUGAGAGGGUGAUCGGCCACACUGGGACUGAGACACGGCCCAGACUCCUACGGGAGGCAGCAGUAGGGAAUCUUCCGCAAUGGACGAAAGUCUGACGGAGCAACGCCGCGUGAGUGAUGAAGGCUUUCGGGUCGUAAAACUCUGUUGUUAGGGAAGAACAAGUACGAGAGUAACUGCUCGUACCUUGACGGUACCUAACCAGAAAGCCACGGCUAACUACGUGCCAGCAGCCGCAGUAAUAC